CGCUUUCUCGGGUAUCGCGCUCAGCAUCCUCAAAGCCCUAACUCCGAAACCCCCGCCGCAAUUUCAACCUCAAUCUCUUCACAAACCCUCCUCAUCGGCUCCUUCACCUCCUCCGCCACCCAAGAAACCAGUAGAAGGAGAUCAAUUGGAACGUCGUGGGUUGUCUUCGAUUUCAGCUCGGACUGUGGAGAUCGUGAAGGGAGAUACGCUUUGGGGGCUUUCGAGGAAAUACGGGGUCACAAUCGAGGCGAUUAAGGGAGCAAAUGGGAUCACCGGGGACAAAAUCUACGCGGGGAAGAAGCUCGUUAUCCCUUGAACUUUCGGGCUUAAUCGGUUUGAAUUUUAACCCGAAAAGUUUUAUCUGAUUAAGUGUAGGAGUUAGUGUGGUGAGAAAUUUUAAACCCCUGCAGUUUGUAUGACUGUAGGAUUGGAUCUAUUUUCAUGUGCAGUUGAUGUAUAUGCUAAUCAUGGUGUUAAUGGGAAUUUGGAAGGCUUAUCACAAUGCUACUGUUAGCAAAGUGGAUCUCUGUGGUACAAGUGUUGCGGUUUUCUGUAUUUCUAUCGAAUUUUACUGUUUUUGAAGUUAGCUACGGACAGCGUUGCGGUUUUC